GACGAACGCUGGCGGCGCGCUUAACACAUGCAAGUCGAACGGAAAGGCCUGCUUUCCCUUGUGGAUUGCGGGUACUCGAGUGGCGAACGGGUGAGUAACACGUGAGUGAUCUGCCCCCAACUUGGGUAUAAGCCUGGGAAACUGGGUCUAAUUCCCGAUAGGACUGCAGGGUGGUGCCUGUGGUGGAAAACGAUUUUCUAGUGGUUGGGGAUGAGCUCGCGGCCUAUCAGCUUGUUGGUGGGGUAAUGGCCUACCAAGGCGGCGACGGGUAGCCGGCCUGGGGGGGGGGCCGGCCACAUUGGGACGGGGACACGCCCCAGACUCCUGGGGGGGGCGGCGGGGGGGAAUAUUGCAAAAGGGGGGAAGGCUGGAGGCAGCGCCGCGGGGUGGGGAAUGAGGGCUUUGGGUGUUAAACCUCCUUGGGACCGGGAGGAAGCCCCCGGGUGGGAGGGGGGGGGAGGGGAGGGGUAGAAGAAGCCCCGCCUACCUACGU
rnacentral:rRNA from 1 species